AUGGUCUGGGCGGACAGCGUUCUCAGCCUGGGGUCAGGGCUGGGCUCAGAAGGGUCUGGGCGGACAGCGUUCUCAGCCUGGGGUCAGGGCUGGGCUCAGAAGGGUCUGGGCGGACAGCGUUCUCAGCCUGGGGUCAGGGCUGGGCUCAGAAGGGUCUGGGCGGACAGCGUUCUCAGCCUGGGGUCAGGGCUGGGCUCAGACGACCAGCAGAGGCUUUGCCCUGCCAUGCCAGGAGCCACAUCUCAUGACCAGGUCCUGGUCUCCCACACUGGCCAGACGCCUCCAUCCGAGACGUCCUGGUCCCUCCGACUGCACAGUGUGACAACCACCACCCAGCCGUGCCGGGUAAGAUGCCCAAUUAAAUUUGAAUUUCAGAUAAACAAUUUUAGCAUAAGUAUGUCCCCAACAUUGGUAAAAAUGACUAUUUGUUGUUUAUCUGAGAUUCAGAAUAAACUGGGCAUCUUGGACUUUUUAUUUGCUCAACCUAGAAACUCAUGAGUGCCUAAGGAGGUCAAGGCAAAUUCCCGACCACCCCAAAUCUGUGUCUGACCCAGGGGCAGUCACAAUGGGGUGCAGUGGUUGUACCUGGUGACUCAGGCCGCUUGUCUACCAUCUCAUGUCGCCCCCUGCCCCUAGCACCAUGGUGUCAUGCCCUACCCGCCAGUGGGCCCAGAAAGCAGCGCUUUUGCCCAGGGCCAUGGUCUUCUAGGCACAGGGUUCAGCCCAAGAAGGGCAGCCCUGGUUCCCAAGCCUCCUGCAGCACUGACUCUCCACUGCAGCUGGCCUGGGGUCUGCAGCUGGCCUUCUGCUUCUGGCCCUGGCUGGCCCUGGCUCACCUCUCCAGAAGGUCUCUGGAAGCUUCUUCCCCACAGGGUCCUCCCUUCUACCGUAAUCUUCCCGGGUUCUGGGAAACAAACUUGAGAGGCCCAGGCGCACCCCACCUCUUCUCUCUGGGUAUCCACAGCUUCUCCUCUGCCUCCUCCCCAAGGGGAUCACUCCGGCCUUUCCCCUCUCCAGUGACCCUCUCUACACCCACCCGGCUUCCCCCUUCCUCUGAGCACCCCAGAUCCCAAAGGACGAGGUGAGGGAGGCUUUGGAGAAAUGUUGCCUGACGUCACGGGUCCUCCACUCUCGGGGGAACCACGCGGCCUGCCCGGCAGUCAGCCCCCUCCCCGCAGGCAGCUCCCUCCCCAUAGUCAGCUCGCUCCCCGCAGGCAGCCGCCUCCCGCACGCACCCCUCCCCGCACGCAGCCCCCUCUCCGCACGCAGCCCCUCCCCGCACGCAGCCCCUCCCCGCACGCAGCCCCUCCCCGCACGCAGCCCCUCCCCGCACGCAGCCCCUCCCCGCAGGCAGCCCCUCCCCGCAGGCAGCCCCCUCCCCGCAGGCAGCCCCUCUCCGCCUCGCCUCACAGCUGCGGGGGUCUGGGCUGGGAAGUGUUGGAGGCAUCUCAGGUUGAAGGCCGGGCAGCGGGCGCUUCUCCCCCAGCCUCCUGGGGCCCGGGCAUCACUGGAAGCGGCGUUUGUCCCCACUUUGUAUCAGUCGCAAAGAAAGAGCACCCAAUUGGACGAAAGGCUGCGUUCCUGGCCCAGAGUGGGUGAGAGUGAGCCCCUGCCCUGUGGGGGAGGCUGAGGCCGGGGGUUGUGAGGAGUCCCAUGCGGGGAGGAGGCUGCAGGAGCACCUCCGUGCGCCUCUUGAUACCACGCAUGCUUAGCAAGCCCUGGGGACUGUUCUCCCGGGCGGGGACUUCCGCCUUGUAAUGACAUGUCACUGACUUAAAGGGAACUGGGGUCACCAGCUCUGGUUUGUGCCCAUCUGGUGCGUUCUUAUCUCCCUGGUAUUUGGCAGGGGAUCCCAAGCCUCUCCUGGCAUGCCGAGACAUCUGGAGCUCAUUAAGCCUUGGAGCCUGUAGAUAAAGAGAUUAAAGGAAAAAAGAAAAGAAAUCCCGCCCUGGGAGAGUUGGGGCAGGAUUAGCCCGGAGGCCACGCCUCUGCGGGGUCUCCCAUAGGCUGGGCCAGCCUCUGCCCUCCCUGCUUCCAGAACCCUGAAGGCUGAUGGCCUGUGGCGGCCAGUCUCCACCCACCCCAGAGCCCAGCCUAGCAGUAGAAGGCCGCCCACCCCGUUCGAACGUCCCUCUUCCUCCAGGGUCAGCCCGCACGCCACUCUCACGGAGGCCAGGAAGGUGGUGGGACGGGGAGUUUAUCCUCUGCCUGAGGGGGCGUCUGGGGUGCCAUUGAGCCUUUCACCUUUUGAGAGGAGUCAGGGUCAUGCAGCGUCUCCAGCAAGUGGUGGCAGCAACUGAUGGGGCAUCCUAAUCACAAAAUAGGAAGAGAGUUUACAAAAUAGGAGCGUUUACCAAGAGCCUCUCCCUCCCUCCCUCCGUCCCUCUCUCUCUCUCUGUCUCUCAAGUAGAAGUGGGGUCUCUCUGUGUUACCCAGGCUGCUCUCGAACUCCGG
ensembl:lncRNA